AUUGAACGCUGGCGGCAGGCCUAACACAUGCAAGUCGAACGAGUGGCGGACGGGUGAGUAAUGUCUGGGAAACUGCCUGAUGGAGGGGGAUAACUACUGGAAACGGUAGCUAAUACCGCAUACCAUCGGAUGUGCCUAGAUAGGAUUAGCUAGUAGGUGGGGUAAAGGUUCACCUAGGCGACGAUCCCUAGCUGGUCUGAGAGGAUGACACGCCCCACUGGAACUGGGCCACGUCCCGGACUCCUACGGGAGGGAGCAGUGGGGAAUAGUGAACCAUGGGCUCAAGCCUGCUGCAGCCAUGCCGCGUGUAGGAGGAAGGCCUUCGGGUUGUAAAGUACUUUCAGCGUGGAGGCGUUACCCGCAGAAGAAGCACCGGCUAACCCGGUGCCAGCAGCCGCGGUAAUUC
rnacentral:rRNA from 1 species